AUUGAACGCUGGCGGCAGGCUUAACACAUGCAAGUCGAGCGGAGCGGCGGACGGGUGAGUAAUGCCUAGGAAUCUGCCUGGUAGUGGGGGAUAACGUCCGGAAACGGGCGCUAAUACCGCAUACUAUCAGAUGAGCCUAGGUCGGAUUAGCUAGUUGGGGGGGUAACGGCCUACCAAGGCGACGAUCCGUAACUGGUCUGAGAGGAUGAUCAGUCAAACUGGAACUGAGACAGGGUCUAGACUCCUACGGGAAGCAGCAGUGGGGAAUAUUGGAAAAUGGGCGAUAGCCGGAGCCAGCCAUGCCGCGUGUGUGAAGAAGGGCGUCGGAUUGUAAAGCACUUUAAGUUGUGAGGCGGUACCCAAAGAAUAAGCACCGGCUAACUUCGUGCCAGCAGCCGCGGUAAUAC
rnacentral:rRNA from 1 species